rnacentral:rRNA from 2 species
GCAAGCGAAUAAGGGUCUACGGUGGAUGCCUUGGAGCUGCUUGGUGAGGAAGGCCGUGGCAAGCUGCGAUAAGCCACGAGUAGGAGCAAACAUCCUGAGAUCCGUGGAUGGCCGAAUGGGGUAACCCGUAGAGCUGUUAAAGGCUCUACAUCGCGGCCCGUAUGGGGUCGCGAAGCGAAACCAGGGGAACUGAACCAUCUAAGUACCCUGAGGAAAAGACAUCAACCGAGAUUCCCUGAGUAGCGGCGAGCGAAAGGGGAACAGCCCAAACCGUGGCGACGUGAUAGGCUUACACCGUUGUCGUCGCGGGGUUGUAGGACCACAGUGAGGGAGGUUGUAAGACCACCCUGUGGUGUAUCGUCGGAUAGUGGAACGUUUCUGGGAAGGACGGCCAGAGCGGGUGAAAGCCCCGUACACGAAAUCCGAUCGACCAUCACUGCUGGGGCACCUGAGUACGGCGGGACACGAGAAACCCUGCCGGAACCUGGGAGGACCACCUUCCAAGGCUAAAUACAAAGCAGCUACCGAUAGUGAACAAGUACCGUGAGGGAAAGGUGAAAAGAACCCCGAGAGGGGAGUGAAAUAGAACCUGAAACCGUAGACUUACAAGCGGUCAGAGCCUCGUAUUUAAUGCGGGGUGAUGGCGUGCCUUUUGCAUAAUGAACCGGCGAGUUAUGGUAUGUAGCGAGGUUAAGGCAUUGUAGUGCCGGAGCCGUAGGGAAACCGAGUCUGACAAGGGCGUAUUAGUUGCAUGCUGUAGACCCGAAACCGAGCGAUCUAUCCAUGGCCAGGCUGAAGCGCUGGUAACACAGCGUGGAGGGCCGAACGGUAGUCUGUUGAAAAAGGCACCGAUGAGCUGUGGAUCGGAGUGAAAGGCUAAUCAAGCUCGGAGAUAGCUGGUACUCCCCGAAAUAGCUUUAGGGUUAGCCUCGUUUUAGUGUAGCGGAGGUAGAGCACUGGAUGGAAUCGGGCCCUUCACCGGGUACCUACCCCAACCAAACUCCGAAUGCCGCUAUAUGAUGAACGGGAGUGAGACUGCGGGCGAUAAGGUUCGUGGUCGAGAGGGAAACAGCCCAGAUCGUUGACUAAGGUCCCCAAGUGCGAACUAAGUGGGAAAGGAAGUGCAGGUGCACAGACAGCCAGGAGGUUGGCUUAGAAGCAGCCAUUCCUUGAAAGAGUGCGUAAUAGCUCACUGGUUAAGUACCUGUGCGCCGACAAUAUAACGGGGCUCAAGUUCGUCACCGAAGUCACGAGUUGGUCAGAGCGCGGAUGCGUUUUGGCUAGCGGUAGGGGAGCGUUCUAGCAGCUGAUGAAGGCGUCCUGUGAGGGGCGUUGGAGGCGACAGAAGUGAGAAUGCCGGUAUGAGUAACGAAAAGACGGGUGAAAAACCCGUCCGCCGAAAGCCUAAGGUUUCCUGGGUAAAGUUAAUCUUCCCAGGGUUAGUCGGCCCCUAAGGCGAGGCCGAGAGGCGUAGUCGAUGGGAAACGGGUUUAUAUUCCCGUACCUCUGGCAGGAGAUGCCGACAGGGAUGACGCGUUGGACGACGCGCAGCCGGGCGAUGGUAGUCCCGGUCCAAGCGGUAAAGACGUUGAUGUGGAGAGGCAAAUCCCUCCGCUGAGUUUGAGCCGUUAAGGCGAGCUGAGGCCUUCGGGCUGACGUGAAGUGUGUUGAAGCUGGCGCCGAGAAAUAGUCUCUAAGGGGAGCCUGCCAGGGACCGUACCGUAAACCGACACAGGUAGGCGGGAAGAGGAUUCUAAGGCGCUUGAGUGAACCCGCGUUAAGGAACUCGGCAAAAUGCACACGUAACUUCGGGAGAAGUGUGGCCUUGCUGAGAUACACCAUAGCUUUCGGGCUAUGGGAGUUUGAGAAAGGUUGCAGAGAAAUGGCCCAGGCGACUGUUUACCAAAAACACAGGUCUCUGCUAAUCGGUAACGAGAUGUAUAGGGACUGACACCUGCCCGGUGCUGGAAGGUUAAGAGGAAGGGUGAGAGCUCUGAAUCGAAGCCCCAGUAAACGGCGGCCGUAACUAUAACGGUCCUAAGGUAGCGAAAUUCCUUGUCGGGUAAGUUCCGACCUGCACGAAUGGUGUAACGAUCUGGGCGCUGUCUCAACGCGGGACUCAGUGAAAUUGUAGUAUCGGUGAAGAUGCCGAUUACCCAUGGUUAGACGGUAAGACCCCGGAACCUUGACUGUAGCUUGGCAUUGAUAUUUGUUCUGCGACGUGUAGGAUAGGUGGGAGGCUUUGAAAUCUGGUCGUCAGGCUGGAUGGAGCCAUUGGUGAAAUACCACCCUUCGUUGAUUAAGUAUCUAACGCGUGGGCCUGAAACGGCUGCGCGGACCGUGUCUGGUGGGCGGUUUGACUGGGGCGGUUACCUCCUAAAGAGUAACGGAGGUGCGCAAAGGUCACCUCGCGCUGGUUGGAAAUCAGCGUAUGAGUGCAAAGGCAAAAGGUGGCUUGACUGCGAGACUGACAAGUCGAGCAGGUACGAAAGUAGGUCUUAGUGAUCUGGCGGUUGUGCGUGGAAGCGCCGUCACUAAACGGAUAAAAGGUACUCCGGGGAUAACAGGCUAAUAGUGCCCAAGCGUCCACAGCGACGGCACUGUUUGGCACCUCGAUGUCGGCUCAUCGCAUCCUGGGGGUGAAGCAGCUCCCAAGGGUUUGGCUGUUCGCCAAUUAAAGCGGUACGUGAGCUGGGUUCAGAACGUCGUGAGACAGUUCGGUCCCUAUCUUCCAUGGGCGUCGGUUGCUUGAGAGGAGCUGCUCCUAGUACGAGAGGACCGGAGUGGACGAACCUCUAGUGUACCAGUUAUCCCGCCAGGGGUAUGUGCUGGGUAGCUAUGUUCGGAAGGGAUAACCGCUGAAAGCAUAUAAGCGGGAAGCCCUCCUCAAGAUGAGGCAACCCGUUCUGCGCUUUGGCGCAGACUGAAGGUACCAGAUAGAUAAUCUGGUUGAUAGGCUGGAAGUGUAAGCACAGUAAUGUGUUCAGCUGACCAGUACUAAUUUACCGUUUGGCUUGACCAU